UACAGAGGGUGCAAACGUUGCUCGGAAUCAUUGGGCGUAAAGCGCACGUAGGCGGUCUGAUAAGUCGGAUGUGAAAGCCCUGGGCUCAACCCAGGAAGUGCAUUCGAAACUGCCAGACUUGAAUAUGGAAGAGGGUCGCGGAAUUCCCGGUGUAGAGGUGAAAUUCGUAGAUAUCGGGAGGAACACCAGUGGCGAAGGCGGCGACCUGGGCCAAUAUUGACGCUGAGGUGCGAAAGCGUGGGGAGCAAACGGG
rnacentral:rRNA from 1 species